GCAAAAAUCCUGGCAGCAAAAUCUAUGUUUCUCACAUCCAUACACAUUUAUAAAUAAGCACCAAAGCCAAGUUCAGAAACAAAGUGCUCUGGAAAGGGUUUAAGCCCUAUAGUGGUCACUAUCUGGACCUGAGGAUGAAUGGCUCUGGGGCCAGGCUCUUGCCAGUUACCUGAGGGGCUCUAUGCUGCCUGCUUUAUGUUGAGAAAGUGGGGUUUCCCCAGAUCUCCCACAUGCACUCCCCUAACACACCUGUAAAGACCUUACUUUUUGGCCAUGGCAUUCCUGAAGGAGGUUUAAGUCAUCAGGCACUUAAAACCCGAGAUGCUGGGUUUGAAGCAAGACAGCCUUCACCACGCCCACUUAGAACUCCAAAAUCCAGCCUUGUUCUGGAAUCCCUGGGGUUGCUUUGAGAUGUCUUCUGCAUGACCAAGCACAGAGCUCCAGUUCCUUCCUCAUCACCAUACUACCACACUUCACCCCAAGUCAACAACCACACUCCCAGCUACCGAGGGUUAGGAAAGACUGCUGAGCCCCCUCAAUCGCCUCCCUGCACUGGGAUAAGCUGUGACUCACGACGGGUGUUCAAUCAGAGGCAGCCCCGGGUUGGCAGGCCAGGUCACCUCACCCACAGCCCUGAGGGCAAACACCACUAGGUCUUAAAGAAACGCUGAAUGUAAUGAGCACCCAGACCCCACAAGCCUGAGGAUGCUCCAACGUGGCAGCUUGAAGGGCUCUCCCAGCAGGAAAAGUCAUCUCUUCCUUCAGUGGAAGCAAGAAGUUGGAGGGCAGUGAAGGCAGUGAAAGGAGCGUGGGCUCUGGAGUCAGCGCCAUUGAUCGGCCUUCCCACUUUCUAGCUGCACGGUUUUGGGCACAUUGCCUAGCCGCUCUCAGAAAAUGGAAGGCACAGUAGUACCUGCCUUGCUGGAUUGUUUUCAGACAAUAAAUCAUCACUGUAAAGCAUGUAAC
ensembl:lncRNA